GAUGAAGAACGUAGCGAAAUGCGAUAAGUAGUGUGAAUUGCAGAAUUCAGUGAAUCAUCGAAUCUUUGUACGCACAUUGCGCCCCUUGGUAUCCCGAGGGGCAUGCCUGUUCGAGCGUCAUUUCACCACUCAAGCCUGGCUUGGUGUUGGGCGACGUCCCCUUUGGGGACGCGCCUCGAAACGCUCGGCGGCGUGGCACCGGCUUUAAGCGUAGCAGAAUCUUUCGCUUUGGAAGUCGGGGCCCCGUCUGCCGGAAGACCUACUCGCAAGGUUGACCUCGGAUCAGGCAGGGAUACCCGCUGAACUUAAGCAUAUCAAUAAGCGGAGGA
rnacentral:misc_RNA from 1 species